rnacentral:tRNA from 1 species
GGCCAAGUGGUGAAACUGGCAAACACGCGACCCUCAGAAGGUCGUGCCGCAAAGGCUUGGGAGUUCGACUCUCCCCUUGGUCA